rnacentral:tRNA from 1 species
UUGUUUGUAGUCCAAUGGUUUGGAUUAUUGCCUUCCAAGCAAUAGACUUGGGUUCGAUCCUCGGCAAAUGCA